GUGUAUUCUAUGUGUUUAACUGUUAGUCUGUUCGUUUGUUUUUUAAUGAAGCUAAUGCUGCUUACCUUGGGAGCCAAGAAAUGAUCCAUGUGCAGAAGAGAGAUGAUGAAAUCAUAAAGGAACAUUUACCUAAGCUGACAUUUUACUAUGGUAAAACAGACCGCUGGUGUCCAGUAAAGUACUAUGAAGACAUGAAGAAAGAUUUUCCAGAAGGCGAUAUCCGACUCUGUGAGAAAAGAAUAGCACAUGCUUUUGUCCUCGGCUUUAACCAGGAGGUGGCUACCAUAGUUGCUGACUGGAUAAAUAAUAAGCUGCCCAAAAUAUAAACGCUGGCUCAGGGGAAACGCACCUACAGCCAGUACAUGGGGGUGAAUGUCUAAUCUUAAAGCUUGAAAAGGAAAGGUGAGAUCCUCUUGGCUAACAGACCACCAGCUCCCAGAUUCCUGUGCUUACACUAAAGUGAACACAGUCUAUGACUCUUUCCACGUCUUCCCUAACUCAGGAAACACAGUCAUCUCCCCAAUGAUUCCUCUGUUUACAAGAAGCCCAACAGCACUGUGCGGUGCAGUUUGCCCAACAUGAUCCGUACAAGCUGCAGAAAUUCUAAAUAUAGGUGAUUCCCAUUGAGUUACUGCUUUAGAAUUGCUUGUCCUGGAUGCAAUUAUGAAACACAUACUAGAAAAUGAAAAGCCACCCAUGAAUGUGAAGUGUGUGUCAGGUGUGUGAAAUGUUAAGACAGACAAGCACACCCUCCUCUUCCAGGUCCCAGGAGCAAUGAGCAGGGGACACUGGCAGAGAACUUGACUUUCCAUUCAGAUACUGGGGAAAAUCAGUCCAGACUUUGUGCAGAUCGUGGCUGAGGUCAUCAGCAUGUCUUCCUGAUCCUCCCACAGUAACUAGGAAUCAAGGUUGCCUGACAUGUAUCAACUAACUACACACAGUUGCUGAAGGAUCCUGACUCUGACCUGGCCCCAGAUGGCUAGCAGACUCCUCCUGAACCUUAAAAUGCCAGUUCCCUGCAGGCUUCCCUAGAGCAAGUAGGGAGGGAUGGACUGUCCACAUCAGAUGUGUAAGGCAGUGGAGUCGCUCAUGGGUGUGAUUCUUCCAAUGGAGCUCCAUGGACAGGAAGCAGUGAACCACUAACACCAUUCAUGAUGCCGUUCACUACCCUAUGGUCCUUCUGAUUUGAAAAUCUCCUAGGACAUAAUUUUUACAAAGGCUAUAAAUUGUUUAGUAAAACUUUAACAUAAACUCAUUCCCCACUUGCCUAAACUUUGUUGAUUUGGAAGAAAUUUAUGAGUGAACAGAAGUAAUCCAUUAAAUUUUGCAUUUCUUCACCUCUGAAAACAUACUCCUGGCUGAGAAGGGGAGGUACUGCUAUGCUGCCUGCUCUUAAUUGACUCAAUCCUAGAAUUUCAGACCCAGUAUUCCCCAUGGUCUGUAGUGACAGUGACCGUUGAUGCACAAUUGUAAAUGUUCCAUUUUCUUCAAGAGAAAAGCUCUCAUAGAAGUAUCAUUCCUCAUGGUCCUUCCUCUCAAAAACCUAAGAUGCUGGUGAAAGCUUUGGUUUGAAGUACCACCAGCUCGGUGGUGAGUGAUGGAUGAAUUCCCAUCCUCUGCAUGGCUUCUGUAUUGGAGCUCUAACUUCUCAGAGGGGAAAAGCCAAACUCCAGACAGUGAGUGUCUUAGUCCAUGUAGAAGACCGUUAGCUACACAGUGAGGUUCCAUGCUGCACACAAGUCCUCGCUGGCAUCUGCACACAGAGGUCUUCUGGAGAACUGACCUGGGAAGCCAGGAGUCAUGCUCUGAGCCCCUUGCGUAUAGGACAGGUCCAGUCAGUGGUAAGAAAUCAAUGCAUAGGAACAAGUCCUGGUGAGUCAGUGCUACUGGAACAAAAUGGCCUUCAGGAUUGCCUCAAGAAUGAUUCUCCGUUACUCUGUUUUCCAGACUUCUUAAAAGACCCAGUGCCUCAUUCCUAUUCCUCCUCUAAACAACUAAUGAUAUUUAUAAUAAAUGUUUUGCCUGUGGUUA